rnacentral:rRNA from 1 species
CCUACGGGUGGCAGCAGUGAGGAAUAUUGGUCAAUGGGCUUAAGCCUGAACCAGCCAAGUCGCGUGAGGGAAGACUGCCCUAUGGGUUGUAAACCUCUUUUGUCAGGGAGCAAUUCGCGCUACGCGUACCCUUAUCUAGAGUACCUGUAGAAAACGCAUCGGCUAACUCCGUGCCAGCAGCCGCGGUAAUCCGGGGGAUGCGAGCGUUAUCCGGUUUUAUUGGGUUUAAAGGGUGCUUAGGCGGAUUGUCAAGUCAGCGGUAAAAUCGCGGGGCUAAACCUAGCUCGGCCGUUGAAACUGGCGGUCUGGAGUGGGCGAGAAGUAGGCGGAAUGCGUGGUGUAGCGGUGAAAUGCAUAGAUAUCACGCAGAACUCCGAUUGCGAAGGCAGCAUACCGGAGCCCAACUGACGCUGAAGCACGAAAGCGUGGGUAUCGAACAGGAUUAGAUACCCUUGUAGUC